rnacentral:rRNA from 1 species
UACGUAGGGUGCAAGCGUUAAUCGGAAUUACUGGGCGUAAAGCGUGCGCAGGCGGUGAUGUAAGACCGAUGUGAAAUCCCCGGGCUUAACCUGGGAACUGCAUUGGUGACUGCAUUGCUAGAGUAUGGCAGAGGGGGGUGGAAUUCCACGUGUAGCAGUGAAAUGCGUAGAGAUGUGGAGGAACACCGAUGGCGAAGGCAGCCCCCUGGGCCAAUACUGACGCUCAUGCACGAAAGCGUGGGGAGCAAAC